GCCAGCAGCUAUAUCACCCUACAACUCUCAACUGGCUACCCACUGAAGCUAAGCUAGGUUGAGCCUGGUCAGUAGCUGGAUGUGAGACCUCCUGGCAAGCUAUAGUUGCUGCUGGAA
rnacentral:rRNA from 1 species